rnacentral:rRNA from 1 species
AGUGAACGCUGGCGGUAGGCCUAACACAUGCAAGUCGAACGGCAGCACAGUAAGAGCUUGCUCUUACGGGUGGCGAGUGGCGGACAAGUGAGGAAUACAUCGGAAUCUACUUUUUCGUGGGGGAUAACGUAGGGAAACUUACGCUAAUACCGCAUACGACCUACGGGUGAAAGCAGGGGAUCUUCGGACCUUGCGCGAUUGAAUGAGCCGAUGUCGGAUUAGCUAGUUGGCGGGGUAAAGGCCCACCAAGGCGACGAUCCGUAGCUGGUCUGAGAGGAUGAUCAGCCACACUGGAACUGAGACACGGUCCAGACUCCUACGGGAGGCAGCAGUGGGGAAUAUUGGACAAAGGGCGAAAGCCUGAUCCAGCCAUACCGCGUGGGUGAAGAAGGCCUUCGGGUUGUAAAGCCCUUUUGUUGGGAAAGAAAAGCAGCAGGUUAAUACCCCGCUGUUCUGACGGUACCCAAAGAAUAAGCACCGGCUAACUUCGUG